rnacentral:lncRNA from 1 species
AAAAGGGUGAUGCCUGUGGUUAGCGGCGGACGAUGGUGUUCCGGAGGAAGAUUUGGGUCUUCGGAGGAAAGGGAAAGGGUCGAAGGCGGCGAGUCGAGGGAGACACGACGGAGAUGUAGAGGCGGAAACGAAGGUGGUUGAGAAGGAGGAAACGGCGGUUUCGUGAUGGGUUUCGCGGUUGUUGUUGUUGGAUAACCGGCGAUGGAAGAUGGAUCGUUUUCGGCGGUGAGUUGAGGGUGGUCGCCGCGAUAUAUAUUGUAACGUGUUCGUCGGCAGUGAGGUUGUAUCGUUGACGGAGUUGUGUUUUGAGGAAGAGGAAAGUUUGGCGAUGGAAAGGAGUGGCCGACGUAGGUUUGUGACGCGUGGUAACUGGUGUUGCCUGUGGAGAAGGAAGUCCAGAGGAAGCAGAUGAACCGUCUGUUUUAUUUAUUUAUUUUUUCUUUUCCUUUUUCUUUUUCUUUAUGUUCAGAGAGAAAGAGAGUUUUUUUUUAGGUAUUGGUGUAUG